GACGAACGCUGGCGGCGUGCCUAAUACAUGCAAGUCGAACGAGAGCACCCGGUGCUUGCACUGGUCAAUCUAGUGGCGAACGGGUGAGUAACACGUGGGUAACCUGCCCAUCAGAGGGGGAUAACAUCCGGAAACGGAUGCUAAAACCGCAUAGGUCUUCGAACCGCAUGGUUUGAAGAGAAAAAGAGGCGCAAGCUUCUGCUGAUGGAUGGACCCGCGGUGCAUUAGCUAGUUGGUGAGGUAACGGCUCACCAAGGCCGUGAUGCAUAGCCGACCUGAGAGGGUGAUCGGCCACAUUGGGACUGAGACACGGCCCAAACUCCUACGGGAGGCAGCAGUAGGGAAUCUUCCGCAAUGGACGCAAGUCUGACGGAGCAACGCCGCGUGAGUGAAGAAGGUUUUCGGAUCGUAAAACUCUGUUGUUAGAGAAGAACAAGUGCUAGAGUAACUGUUAGCGCCUUGACGGUAUCUAACCAGAAAGCCACGGCUAACUACGUG
rnacentral:rRNA from 1 species